GGGGUGGUGUUCCCAUGUAUCUGCUGCCCUUGUCCUUCUAGAUGGAAGUGGUCGUGGGUUUGGAAGGUGCUGCCUGAGGAAGUUGAAUGCUGCAAGUAAUCCAAUAUCUUUGUGUUCUGGCAGAUUCCAUGGCUUCACAUGCUGUACUCUGCAAUCGCAGCCAUUGUUUUUACUCUGUUCUUGGCGUUUGACACCCAGCUGAUCCUGGGAAACAGGAAACAUUCCAUCAGCCCAGAGGAGUAUGUUUAUGGUGCACUCAGACUCUAUGUAGACAUUGUACAAAUCUUCAUCCACCUUCUUCAGUUGUUUGGAUCCAGAUGAAGACACAAGGUGCAAUGUUGUUACAAGCAAAACUCCUUGGCUUCCUUCAUUCUCGCCUUUCUUUGUCCAAAAUAACCUCGCGCUUGUAGAAUGUAGGAAAGACAUUACCUUCAACGCAAUUAGAAUCGUUAGUUGUAACUCCAGUUCUCAGAGUUCCUGGACUAUCCAGCCUAGUGCCAUCCUGCUCUCAGAAAGGAAUUAAUUACAAAGUAGAACAGCAACUGCUGGAGAAACUGAGCAGGUCUGACAGCCUCUGUGAAGAGAGAAUGACACAGUGAAUGUCUCUGGUUAAUGAGAUUUGAUGAGAACUGGAAAAAAGCAGAACAGUUUUUAAAUAAGCCCAAACUACAGGGAUAAUGAACAAAAGAGGGUUUGGGAUAAGCUGAAAAGUAAUUGAUCAGAAACAUUAACUGUGAUUUUCUGUGCACAUACUGCCUGACCUGCUGAGUAUUUCCAGCAUUUUCUGUUCAUUUUAGACUGUUCAUUGUGUUCAGCCUGAAGCAUUCCUCACAGAUACAUGGUGCCACUUGAGGAUCAGGAUAUCAAAGUCGUAACUUUCCAGGCAGCAUUGAUCCCAAGAUCCUAUUGACUUUAGAGGUUUGGAGAGCCUACACUGAGUACUUGGAAACACUGGAGAGGUCCCACCUGUGUCACCUUCCCAAGAUCUUCCAAAUUGAAGGGCAGGAGAGGGAGUCCGUCGGCAAUGUCCUCCCCAUGCCAUUGAGGGGCCAGUCUAUCCAAAUCAUCUCCACUGCACAGCCUGUGUCGCUCGUGAGCCUGAUCCCGGGUUCCCAAUGAGACUGCUCAACUGGAGUCUCCCAGGAGGAUGACAGGAAACACUUUUGGGACAUGCUCAAAGUUUCCCUGAAGAGAUCAAACAUCCCCUGAUGACCCAUGGAGACCCUGGCCUGUGAACGACCAAAAUGGAGAAAGUUCACUCAGGAAGACCCCUAGGAUAUCGGGAGACUCUUAUCGGGAAGAUGCGGAGCUGAAGAUGAGCUGUCAGAGGGAAUGGCAUAAACGCCCAAUCACCCACCAACCCAACCCUCCAAACGCAGCAGAGCCUGCAGAUCAUCCUAGAAGCCAUCGAACCCUGACUGGGAACAAGUCCCCCUCAGUCCCAGCUGAGAGACCCGGCUGAGAAAGUGUGAUCACCGAUAGUUAUACAAAGUGAACGUCAUCGGUCUCCAAUCCACUCAAUAACCACAGGAACAUAGGUUGAAGGCAAUUGGCAAAAACGUGGAGGAGGUGAUGAGGAGAACUGUUUGCGUUUUCCUCAGUGAGUUGUUGUAAAUUGCCUGGAAGGACGAUUGAAGCAGGUUUAAUAGGAACUUUCAAAAAAGGGAAUUGGAGAAAUGGUUAAAGGUGGAGAGUUUUGGUAAGGAGCAAAUGGGGGAAAUGGGAAAACCAGAUUUCGCAACCAAAGAGCCAGUAUAGGUGUGAUGGGUUGAAUGGCCAGCCUGUGUAAGAGAUGAUGGUUGUUUUGUUAUUCUCUGACUGACUUGACUUUAAGCUGUGUAACCCUGUCUACGUUUACCAUAAAACUGAGAGUACCUUACUCAUUAUGGUUUAACUUAUUUGCAUCUGAACAUGAGAACACAGUCACAUGCUCGUGUCAGCCAACAGCCAACGUUCUGUUUGUUUUAUUUUUCUGAAUGGUGCAGAUGAACUCUUCUUCAGAACUUGGACAAUAAACACUGGCUGAAGCAGCUAUGACCACAUUCCAACAAUGAUUGAAAAAGUACCAGGAGGAAGCGAUUCAGCCCCUCGAGCCUGUUACACAGGUAUGGGAGGAGACCACUCAGCCCCUCGAGGCUAUUACAAAAGAACAGGAAGAGGCCAUUCAGUUGCUUGAGACUGUUACACAGGAAUAGGAGGUGACCAUUCAGCUCCUUGACCUGUUACACAGGAACAAGAGACCAUUCAGCCCCUCGAGGCUGUUGCAAAAGAACAGAAAGCGGCCAUUCAGCCCCUUGAGACUAUUACGUAGGAACUGGAGGAGACCAUUCAGCCCUUCAAGCCUAUUACAUAGGAACAGAAGAAGGCGAUUCAGCCCCUCGAGUCUGUUACACUGCUGGUUAAACUCCUGGUCUGUUCUACAUGUGACUCCAGACCUACAGUGAUGUGGUUGACUCUUAACUGCCCUCUGGGCAAUUAGGGAUGGGCAAUAAAUGCUGGCCUAGCCAGCGACACCUUCAUGGCGUGAAUGAAUAAAAAAGAUUCAACCUUUCAAACCUGUUACACAGGAGCAAGAGGAGGCCAUUUAGCCCCUUGAACCUGUUACAAAGGAACAGAAGGAGGUGAUUCAGCUCCUCAAGACUGUUAGAUUUGAAAUAGGAGGCCAUUCAGCCACUCGAGCUUGUUACAUAGGAUCAGGAGGAGGCCAUUCAAUUCCUCAAGACUGUUCUGCCAUUUGGCAAAUCGUGAUGAUGUAUAUCUCCAUUCCAUUUAUCUGACUCAAUCUACUAUCCCUUGAUUUACUAAUCCAAUAAAAAAUUCAUCAAUUUCAGUUUGGAAAUUUUCAGUUGAUCCUCAAACCCCUCAGGAUUCAGGAAGAGAGAGAGUUUUAAAUUUCCACUUGCCUUUGGCUGCCAUUGUGCUUCUUGGUAUCACCCCUGAAUGGCUCAGUUUGACAUGAAGAUGUAGUUUCCUACCAGAGGAAACAUUUCUCCUGCGCUGAAUCUUUCAAGUCUUUUUGGUCACUUUGCAUAUCUCAAUCAGAUUGCAUCUCAAUUUUUGAAAUUGAUGAGGUUGCUCUGCAUUAUUGUAUUAACAUUAUAAUGAACAGUUGCUGCUUUACAAUUUUACUUACCUGCUGAAUGUUUACAAGGUUUGUUUCAGUCUCUAUUCUGUACAAUAUUGUAUUAAAAUGCUUUUGAUUACAAGUU